GAUGAACGCUGACAGAAUGCUUAACACAUGCAAGUCAACUUGAACUUCGGUUUGGGUGGCGGACGGGUGAGUAACGCGUAAAGAACUUGCCUCACAGCUAGGGACAACAUUUGGAAACGAAUGCUAAUACCUGAUAUUAUGAUUUUAGGGCAUCCUAGGAUUAUGAAAGCUAUAUGCGCUGUGAGAGAGCUUUGCGUCCCAUUAGCUAGUUGGAGAGGUAACGGCUCACCAAGGCGAUGAUGGGUAGCCGGCCUGAGAGGGUGAUCGGCCACAAGGGGACUGAGACACGGCCCUUACUCCUACGGGAGGCAGCAGUGGGGAAUAUUGGACAAUGGACCAAGAGUCUGAUCCAGCAAUUCUGUGUGCACGAUGAAGUUUUUCGGAAUGUAAAGUGCUUUCAGUUGGGAAGAAAAAAAUGACGGUACCAACAGAAGAAGUGACGGCUAAAUACGUGCCAGCAGCCGCGGUAAUACGUAUGUCACAAGCGUUAUCCGGAUUUAUUGGGCGUAAAGCGCGUCUAGGUGGUUAUGUAAGUCUGAUGUGAAAAUGCAGGGCUCAACUCUGUAUUGCGUUGGAAACUGUGUAACUAGAGUACUGGAGAGGUAAGCGGAACUACAAGUGUAGAGGUGAAAUUCGUAGAUAUUUGUAGGAAUGCCGAUGGGGAAGCCAGCUUACUGGACAGAUACUGACGCUGAAGCGCGAAAGCGUGGGUAGCAAACAGG
rnacentral:rRNA from 1 species